rnacentral:misc_RNA from 1 species
AGACCCCCUCAAUCCUUUCCCUCUCUGGUGAGCACCCUGGAUGGUCGGCCAGGACUCCCCAGGGUGAGACUGGAUGUUGAGAAGGCAGGAAAGCAGGAGGCCUGUUUAUGCAAUCAAGAGAGGGAGCAGCCUCCUUCGAUGGUAGGGAACACCUGUGCCUCUUGGCAUCUUGCCU